rfam:Trichobilharzia regenti genome assembly, scaffold: TRE_scaffold0005808
GUGGGUUAUGGAGAUAUGCUGCCGAGAACAGUGUUAGGCAAACUGAUUGGUGCUUGCUGUUGUAUUUGUGGUGUACUUGUUGUUGCCCUGCCUAUUCCGAUAAUUGUGAACAAU